rnacentral:rRNA from 1 species
UAGGGAAUCUUCCACAAUGGACGCAAGUCUGAUGGAGCAACGCCGCGUGAGUGAAGAAGGCUUUCGGGUCGUAAAACUCUGUUAUUGAAGAAGAACGUGUGUGACAGUAACUGGUCAUGCAGUGACGGUAUUCAAUCAGAAAGUCACGGCUAACUACGUGCCAGCAGCCGCGGUAAUACGUAGGUGGCAAGCGUUGUCCGGAUUUAUUGGGCGUAAAGCGAGUGCAGGCGGUCUUUUAAGUCNGAUGUGAAAGCCUUCGGCUUAACCGAAGAAGGGCAUCGGAAACUGGGAGACUUGAGUGCAGAAGAGGAGAGUGGAACUCCAUGUGUAGCGGUGAAAUGCGUAGAUAUAUGGAAGAACACCAGUGGCGAAGGCGGCUCUCUGGUCUGUAACUGACGCUGAGGCUCGAAAGCGUGGGUAGCAAACAGGAUUAGAUACCCUGGUAGUCCACGCCGU